UACGUAGGGACCAAGCGUUGUUCGGAUUUACUGGGCGUAAAGCGCACGUAGGCGGAUCGUUAAGUCGGGGGUGAAAUCCUGGAGCUCAACUCCAGAACUGCCUUCGAUACUGGCGAUCUUGAGUCCGGAAGAGGUGAGUGGAACUCCUAGUGUAGAGGUGGAAUUCGUAGAUAUUGGGAAGAACACCGGUGGCGAAGGCGGCUCUCUGGACCGAGACUGACGCUGAGGCGCGAAAGCGUGGGGAGCAAACAGG
rnacentral:rRNA from 1 species